rnacentral:rRNA from 1 species
UACGUAGGGGGCAAGCGUUAUCCGGAUUUACUGGGUGUAAAGGGAGCGUAGGCGGAAUUGCAAGUCUGAUGUGAAAAUCCGGGGCCCAACCCCGGAACUGCAUUGGAAACUGUAUUUCUAGAGUGUCGGAGAGGCAAGUGGAAUUCCUGGUGUAGCGGUGAAAUGCGUAGAUAUCAGGAGGAACACCAGUGGCGAAGGCGGCUUGCUGGACGAUGACUGACGUUGAGGCUCGAAAGCGUGGGGAGCAAACAGG